GCCCGGAUAACUCAGUCGGUUAGAGCAUGGUGCUGAUAGCACCAAGGUUGAAGGUUCAAUCCCUGUAUGGGACA